UAGAAGGAAAGGAAAAACCCAUGAAAAUGUCAAGUACAGCCAGAUCAAUGAUGAGAUAGAGUUCGUCAAACUUCACCUGGCUUAGAGGGCCUUAAAUAAAUAACACACAGUCUCAAAACGCACACAGCAGGACUUUAAUAAAUGAUGCACCCAUGAUUCGAUGGAUGAAUAGAGCUGGGAACCAGAGAAAGUACAACAUAGACGCUCGAGACAAAUGGAGUAUGCGAUAGGAAGGAAACCAGGUUGAGGGCCGAAACUGCCAACGGGAGGUACUCGGAGUUGAUGGGAAAGUUCACAGCUCAUCUAUCAAAUCCCACCAUGACACAGCGUUGCUAUGCCAUCAGUUCCUGUGCAAUCAGAAACCAUCACUGGCCUACACCCAAAGCAACAAAAAGAAGACAGAUAUUAACAUCUGAAACAGAAAUCAACAUCAGCACAAUUUGAAUCAUUCUUACUAGGUGAACUGGUGAACCAGUUAGCAGUUUCCAGAAAGCCUGAAGACACUUUUUGCUCACGGUUUUUUUUUUUCCUUCCCUUCUCUCUCUCCAACCCAACACAUACUAGAAAUUACGAGUGUGCAAUUAUUAUUUUUUUUUAAUUUCAGUUCUUUUUAUUCUGACUAUAUAGAAAUGUGCUUAAUUGGGCUUUUGUAAUUCAGAGAGAGUGAACAGAUGGAGGAAGGAAAAUUAUUAACUAAAUUUCCCCACCUCAUUGAUUGAGCCCAUCACAAUGAAGAUUAGAAAACUUGA